UACGUAGGGUGCGAGCGUUGUCCGGAAUUAUUGGGCGUAAAGAGCUCGUAGGCGGUUUGUCGCGUCGGAUGUGAAAGCCCGGGGCUUAACUCCGGGUCUGCAUUCGAUACGGGCAGGCUAGAGUUCGGUAGGGGAGAUCGGAAUUCCUGGUGUAGCGGUGAAAUGCGCAGAUAUCAGGAGGAACACCGAUGGCGAAGGCAGAUCUCUGGGCCGUAACUGACGCUGAGGUGCGAAAGCGUGGGGAGCAAACAGG
rnacentral:rRNA from 1 species